CAGGCCUGAAAUGGUCCAGCCACACCAACACAGUAGUUAAGGUCCAACAGACCUGAAAUGGUCCAGCCACACCAACACAGUAGUUAAGGUCCAACAGACCUGAAAUGGUCCAGCCACACCAACACAGUAGUUAAGGUCCAAUGGGCCUGAAAUGGUCCAGCCACACCAACACAGUAAAGUUCCAACAGGCCUGAAAUGGUCCAGCCACACCAACACAGUAGUUAAGGUGCAACAGGCCUGAAAUGGUCCAGCCACACCAACACAGUAGUUAAGGUCCAACAGGCCUGUAAUGGUCCAGCCACACCAACACAGUAGUUAAGGUCCAACAGGCCUGAAAUGGUCCAGCCACACCAACACAGUAGUUAAUGUCCAACAG
ensembl:lncRNA